GUGGACGUUAUUUCUCUGUGACCAGUUGACACUGUCCUCUGCACCUGCUGGACAGAUACAGCCAUUCUGAUGUUUUGACUAAUAAAAUGGGAUGCUCGAGAAGGAGAUAAGAAUGCAGGCUCUUGCAGAAAGGUUCCUUCAGGAAGUCUGGUAAUGCUUGUAUUGUUUGAUUAAUUAUUUUAGUUCUCUGGAUAUUUUGGCAACUGUCUCUACAGAUGGAUGACAAGUAACCAAGAUCUCCUGGAAACAGCGCUUCACCUGCUUAGUUUGAUUCCCUAAAAGAGUUCCUCUGUUUACCCACUAAGUUAACAGCAACCAAUAAAUGCACCAACCUUUCUAUUAACAUAGGGCUGGCUGUGUCCUGAACCUGCGUCAGAGAGAGACGACUUGGUAUAUCGUGAACAUAAAUCAGUUACUAGAUUGCACAAGAAGCACGAUGGCGAUUGUGCUGGAGGCGGAGAAGGCAGUGCCAGCUCUCUAGAGCGGACGAGUGACAACCCUCUAGAUAUAGCUGUAACCAGGCUCGCUGACUUGGAGCGGAACAUAGAGCGAAGGUAUCUGAAGAGCCCCUUAAGUACCACCAUUCAGAUCAAACUGGAUAAUGUGGGCACAGUUACUAUCCCUGCUCCUGCACCAUCCAUUAGUGGUGAUGGUGACGGAACUGAAGAGGAUAUUGCUCCGGGGCUAAGGGUGUGGAGAAGGGCAUUGUCAGAAGCGCGCAGUGCUGCACAGGUAGCCCUGUGCAUUCAGCAGUUACAGAAAUCAAUAGCAUGGGAAAAAUCUAUUAUGAAAGUUUACUGCCAGAUUUGUCGAAAAGGAGACAACGAGGAACUGCUGCUCCUGUGCGAUGGCUGCGACAAGGGCUGUCACACCUACUGCCACAGGCCCAAGAUCAGCACGAUCCCAGACGGGGACUGGUUCUGCCCCGCCUGCAUCGCCAAGG